UACGAAGGGGGCGAGCGUUGUUCGGAAUUACUGGGCGUAAAGGGCGCGUAGGCGGCCGAUCAAGUUAGAUGUGAAAGUCCUGGGCUUAACCUGGGGACUGCAUUUGAUACUGAUUGGCUUGAAUUCGGGAGAGGAUAGCGGAAUUCCCAGUGUAGAGGUGAAAUUCGUAGAUAUCUGGAGGAAUACCGGUGGCGAAGGCGGCAUCCUGGACCGACAUUGACGCUGAUGAGCGAAAGCUAGGGGAGCAAACGGG
rnacentral:rRNA from 1 species